rnacentral:pre_miRNA from 1 species
CCUACACCCAUGUAUGUAGGACCUCAAAGGAUCAUCAUUAAAUUUGGCACAGAUCUCUAAAUAAGUUAUCACAUGAGUGCAAGACUUGAUUUAUCUAGAGAUCUGUGCCAAAUUUAAUUGUGAUCCUUUGGGGUCCUAUACACAUGGGUGUGGG